GACGAACGCUGGCGGCGUGCUUAACACAUGCAAGUCGAACGGGAGUAUUGAAGAAGCUUGCUUUAGAGAUACUUUAGUGGCGGACGGGUGAGUAACGCGUGAGGAGCUGUCCAAUGCAGGGGGACAACAGUUGGAAACGACUGCUAAUACCCCAUAAGCCGAGAGGUAAAAGGAUUUAUCCGGCAGAGGAGGUACUCGCGUCCUAUCAGCUAGUAGGUGAGGUAACGGCUCACCUAGGCGAAGACGGGUAGCCGGCCUGAGAGGGCGAACGGCCACACUGGAACUGAGAUACGGUCCAGACUCCUACGGGAGGCAGCAGUGGGGAAUAUUGGGCAAUGGGGGGAACCCUGACCCAGCGACGCCGCGUGGGUGAAGAAAUCCUUCGGGAUGUAAAGCCCUGUUGUAUGGGAAGAGCGGAAGACGGUACCAUACGAGGAAGCCCCGGCAAACUACGUGCCAGCAGCCGCG
rnacentral:rRNA from 1 species